rnacentral:rRNA from 1 species
UACUUAGGGUGCAAGCGUUAAUCGGAAUUACUGGGCGUAAAGCGUGCGCAGGCGGCUAUGCAAGACAGAUGUGAAAUCCCCGGGCUCAACCUGGGAACUGCAUUUGUGACUGCAUGGCUAGAGUACGGCAGAGGGGGAUGGAAUUCCUGGUGUAGCAGUGAAAUGCGUAGAUAUCAGGAGGAAUACCGAUGGCGAAGGCAGGUCUCUGGGCUGACACUGACGCUCAUGCACGAAAGCGUGGGGAGCAAACAGG